rnacentral:tRNA from 1 species
GCAUCGGUGGUUCAGUGGUAGAAUUCUCGCCUGCCACGCGGGAGGCCCGGGUUCGAUUCCGGCCGAUGCA